rnacentral:lncRNA from 1 species
UUGAGAUUUUGGAAUUAUUAGUUUCCAUGGGCUUAUGUUACCAUAGUCUCACUAGAGCAAGUCCAUUUUAGGGUUUUAAACAAAUCAGAAGUAGCCAUUGGUAACUAAUUCAUCAGCUAGUCCAAGUAUGUGAUGAGAUUGCUAACCAAUUGCUAUUAAUACAAAAAAAAAAAAGUAAAGUCAGCUAUUAGUUUGAUUUUAAGCAGCAUGGAGAAAUCUAACUCUGGAUAUUAUAUUGUCAUCAAAAUCAAUGGAAUGUGAAAUAUUAAGAUUAAAUAUUGCUCGAUGAUCUAAGGGUUGUAGAAUAAUAUUUAGUUUUUCCUUAUUCUUUUGCUGAUAACUUGUCUCUGUAUUUCUUUGGACUUAGAGCUAGCUCACUCUUGAAAACAUGUGGUCAUUCUGCCUCUCAGGAGCAACUGUAUAAGAUGUUUGUCCGACAUGGAGAGGUAAAUGGAAAGGAGAUGCUGGAGGAGGAAGAAGAAAAGGGAAAAGAAGAGAUAGAGGUACAAGGGAAAGAAGCCAAUGAGGGGUGGAGAGGAGUCAUUCAUGGUGCAAUUAAACUCGAAGGAUCUGGAAGCCUGAGGAUCUGCUUGAGCCCCAGUCUAAUGAAGUGAAUGCUGCCA